rnacentral:rRNA from 2 species
UACGUAGGGGGCAAGCGUUGUUCGGAUUUACUGGGCGUAAAGGGCGCGUAGGCGGCGUGACAAGUCAGUUGUGAAAUCUCUGAGCUUAACUCAGAACGGUCAACUGAUACUGUUGUGCUAGAGUGCAGAAGGGGCAACCGGAAUUCUUGGUGUAGCGGUGAAAUGCGUAGAUAUCAAGAGGAACACCUGAGGUGAAGACGGGUUGCUGGGCUGACACUGACGCUGAGGCGCGAAAGCUAGGGUAGCAAACGGG